UAACUUCGGGAAACCGGAGCUAAUACCGGAUAAUAUAUUGAACCGCAUGGUUCAAUAGUUGAAAGACGGUUUUGCUGUCACUUAUAGAUGGAUCCGCGCCGCAUUAGCUAGUUGGUAAGGUAACGGCUUACCAAGGCAACGAUGCGUAGCCGACCUGAGAGGGUGAUCGGCCACACUGGGACUGAGACACGGCCCAAACUCCUACGGGAGGCAUC
rnacentral:rRNA from 1 species